rnacentral:rRNA from 1 species
UACGAAGGGGGGCUAGCGUUGCUCGGAAUCACUGGGCGUAAAGGGUGCGUAGGCGGGUCUUUAAGUCAGGGGUGAAAUCCUGGAGCUCAACUCCAGAACUGCCUUUGAUACUGGUGAGCUUGAGUCCGGAAGAGGUGAGUGGAACUGCGAGUGUAGAGGUGAAAUUCGUAGAUAUUCGCAAGAACACCAGUGGCGAAGGCGGCUCACUGGCCCGGUACUGACGCUGAGGUGCGAAAGCGUGGGGAGCAAACAGGG